UGGGGAAUAUUGGACAAUGGGCGAAAGCCUGAUCCAGCCAUGCCGCGUGUGUGAAGAAGGUCUUCGGAUUGUAAAGCACUUUAAGUUGGGAGGAAGGGCAGUAAGCUAAUACCUUGCUGUUUUGACGUUACCGACAGAAUAAGCACCGGCUAACUCUGUGCCAGCAGCCGCGGUAAUACAGAGGGGGCAAGCGUUAAUCGGAAUUACUGGGCGUAAAGCGCGCGUAGGUGGUUUGUUAAGUUGGAUGUGAAAGCCCCGGGCUCAACCUGGGAACUGCAUCCAAAACUGGCAGGCUAGAGUACGGUAGAGGGUGGUGGAAUUUCCUGUGUAGCGGUGAAAUGCGUAGAUAUAGGAAGGAACACCAGUGGCGAAGGCGACCACCUGGACUGAUACUGACACUGAGGUGCGAAAGCGUGGGGAGCAAACA
rnacentral:rRNA from 1 species